UGUCGAAGAAGAUGGUCGAAAUAAAUCCGGAGCGAUGUCGAUUGAUGUGGUAAACCAAUGGUUUGACGGAUUAAGAAAUGUUUGUAGCGAGCUGAAUUGUACAAGUAUAUUACGCGGUGUCGAAUUGAAUUGAGGUGCGCGCAGGAUCGCUAUUACUUCGAAAGUGUAUAAGCGAAAAGUUGAUGUGGCGUCAUCUGGUGUGGUGUAUUGAUAUUUUCUUAAUAUGCGAUAUAAACUCAACUUAAUAAACGAUUUUUCGGAUGUGAGAAUGAAGGAGAAAUCACCAAGAUCGGCGGAAAUCGUUAUGUUAAGGGUAUGGGGGCUGCCCUAAGGGACCAAUUCAUCUAUGUCUAACGAUAACUUUACUCAUGUAUUCGGCAUACUGCAUCAAUAUUUUAUAAAAAUAUUUUUAAAAA